UACAGAGGUCUCAAGCGUUGUUCGGAUUCAUUGGGCGUAAAGGGUGUGUAGGUGGCUUUACAGGUCCGUUGUGAAAACUCGAGGCUCAACCUCGAGACGCCGGUGGAAACCGUAAAGCUAGAGUCCGGAAGAGGAGAGUGGAAUUCCUGGUGUAGCGGUGAAAUGCGCAGAUAUCAGGAAGAACACCCGUGGCGAAGGCGGCUCUCUGGGACGGUACUGACGCUGAGACGCGAAAGCGUGGGGAGCAAACAGG
rnacentral:rRNA from 1 species